rnacentral:tRNA from 1 species
CAAGAAUUAGUUUAUAAAAAAUAUUAAUUUUGGAGAUUAAAGAUAGAAAAUUUUAUUCUUGA